UGAGGAAUAUUGCGCAAUGGAGGCAACUCUGACGCAGCCAUGCCGCGUGCAGGAAGAAGGCGCUACGCGUUGUAAACUGCUUUUAAUCGGGAAGAAACCCCGGGACGUGUCCCGGGUUGCCGGUACCGAUGGAAUAAGCACCGGCUAACUUCGUGCCAGCAGCCGCGGUAAUACGAAGGGUGCAAGCGUUAUCCGGAUUCAUUGGGAUUAAAGGGUGCGUAGGCGGGACAGCAAGUCAGCGGUGAAAUCCCGUGGCUCAACCACGGAAUUGCCGUUGAUACUGCUGUUCUUGAGUGCGUUUGACAUGGUCGGAAUGUGCAGUGUAGAGGUGAUAUUCUUAGAUAUGGCACAGAAGACCGAUAGUGAAGCCAGCUCACGAAGACGAAACUGCCGCGGAGGCACGAAAGCGUGGGGAUCAAACA
rnacentral:rRNA from 1 species